CAGAACCUGUUUCUAACUUGAAUUGGUAUGUAUACAUUACCUUAGGAUGAAGUUACUGGUGGAGGAAAUGAAGAGAAAGGCGUGGAACCUUCGCAAGAGCCUUUUCCAGUGAUAGGACCAAAUCAGGUCCAGCAAAACUGUGCUGUGAGUUUGAGUAGUACAGAUUUUGUUACUUGUUGUGAUAUUUGGAACUUUUCAAUAAAUAACUAAGAUGGUUAGCAUAUAUAGUAUCCCUCCCUACCUUAAAGCUUAAGAUUGAUGAGAACAAUGUGUUUUACAUUGCCGAUAAAAUGCAUUAAAUCUUGAGCAUGGUUAUAAUACUAACCUAUAGCUGACAAAAGUUUGCAUCCUUCAUAGGUGAUAUAGGCAAUUGAACAAUAUAUUUCACACUUAUAAGUCCACCAUCUUUGUGUUUGCAAUAUCUUUUUAACAUUUUAGGAAGAUGAAGUCACUGGACAACGGAGGGGAGGAUGGCAGUCUAAUGUGAUGCAGUUUCAAAUGCUGGAUUUUAACCGCUUCAAUAAUUAUUUUUCUG
rnacentral:lncRNA from 1 species